rnacentral:lncRNA from 1 species
AUGUGGGGAAUAGACGCUGUCAGCCCCAUUCACCUUUCAGCUUUUUUUUCCACAGCUCAUUUGUUCGUAAAGAGAAAUAGGCUAUCAUAUACGCGUCUCCGACUAUUCCCUGAAUGCAGCAUAAUUUUCAACGGGAUUCUCCUUUUUCACCAUCCGCGCAGAUGCAGUUCAAGGACGCCUGCAGGCAGCACGACCCUGCUGUGCUUCUGACGUGACCUAGUUCUAUUAUUUACUUAAUAAAUAGUUACUAGUUACUAUUUUCUUUUUUUUUUUUUUGGUUUAUUAUUAUUAUUAUUAUUAAUAAUUGAUCAACAUUUUUAAACCCAAACAAAAAUAUUUUUAUUUUAACCAUUUUUGGCCAAAAUGUUGUAGCAAAAAGGGAUGCUCCUCAACAUUUCGGCACCUCCUUUAUGUAAUUGGGUGGCAUGGCAUGCAUGUCCCUGUUAUGGAUGGCAUUCGAAGCAGAGAAACACUAAAUCAGUGUGCGUAAGCUAUGUGACCUCCUUUUAAGCUCCCUUAUACUUCGAUUCCCUCCCAUGUGUCAUCUCUUAGACGAUGCACUGCCUUCAUAUUGCAAAUCGUAUCUUUGGCUAGACAAGCAGAUAACUCUGCGAUUCCUCUGUGGUGUGAGGUUAGAGGUACACGGGCUCUAUGAAAUUUUUCAUCACAGGGACUGAUAGCACAGGCGGCCGUUAGAGAAAGCCAGGAUAUUUGAGAUAUCUAUCAGGGUACCGUGAAGGUUUUUUUUUUUUUCUUUGUCAGAUGCAGUUCAAGGACGCCUGCAGGCAGCACGACCUACGCUGUGCUUCUGACGUGACACAAGGUCACGCACACUCACCCUCUGACAUUCACUCAGUACAGACAGUGAGAGAGAGAGAGAGGAAGAGUGUGUGUUACUGAGAGAGCAAGUGGGGGAAGGGAAAGAGCGAGGAUGGGGUUGCAGUAAAAGUCAUCUUCCCCUGUGUGCUCUGAGUAAACAGUUCACUUUGCUCUGUGUGAGCGCAGCCAGGGCCUCAUUUGCUCAGCCGUUUUUACUCAUCUCUCCCAUUUGCCGACAACUUGAGACAUGCUGUUCUCUGGCUGCCUCUCAGUAGGACCGUUUGUCACGUCAGGGGGUUUUAUUUGACUUAAGUAUGAGUUAUCUCAAACUCUGCGCCGAAAUUAAUGCACCUUUAAAUUCUGUGCUGUUUCAAGCCUUUAUAGUUCUUUUAUGUGAUCAGUGCUGAGCACUCAGGAUAUUGAGAUGACAUACGCUUACAUUCUCUGCUAAACGGAUGCUAUUGUGAUGUACAUACAAUGUCACAGAUGAUAUAUUGAUAUUUUACCCAAAAUAGAGAUGGGAGAAAUUGCAAUUUUUUCAUAGUGGACUAGUCAGAGUAAAGAUUUGUAUUAAUUAGCAUGUUCACUACAUGCUUUUCUUAAAGGGAUAGUUCACUCAAAAAUAACAAUUCUGUUAGUAAUUACUCACCCUCAUGUCAGUUCAAACUCACAAGACCUUCGUUCAUCUUAGGAACGCAAAUUAAGGUAUUUUUGAUGAAAUCUGAGAGCUUUCUCACCUGCGGACAGCAACACAACUGACAAGCUCAAGGCCCAGAAAGGUAGUAAAGACAUUGUUAAAAUAGUCCAUGUACAUCAGUGGUUCAACCAUAAUGUUAUGAAGCUAUGGGAAUACUUUUUGUGCACAAAAAAAACAUCUCGGAUUUUAUUGAAAAUAUCUUAAUUUGUGUUCCGAAGAUAAACAAAGGUCUUAUGGGUUUAGAACAACAUAAGGGUGAGUAAUCAAUGACAAAAUUUUCAAUUUUGGGUAAACUAUCCCUUUAAGGGACUUUAUGUGUACGUAGAUCAACCAGUGUAAUUGUAAUAUAAUUGUAAGUACUAAUAUAAUUGAUAUUUUAGCUUUUAUUUUUGUAUUUUCAGUUUUCAUUUUAUUUUAGUUUGUCAUUUUGUUAUGUGACUUCAUAAUAUGUAUUUUUAAAUAUUUCUACUAUUUAACUUUAUUUUUCAGUUUCAGAUUUUUAAAAGGUUUUUAACGUUUUUUUUUUAAAUUAUUAUUUAGUUUA